UGGAGCCUCGGGGGGCAGCAGUGGGGAAUUUUGGACAAUGGGCGCGAGCCUGAUCCAGCUAUUCCGCGUGUGGGAUGAAGGCCCUCGGGUUGUAAACCACUUUUGUAGAGAACGAAAAGACACCUUCGAAUAAAGGGUAUUGCUGACGGUACUCUAAGAAUAAGCACCGGCUAACUACGUGCCAGCAGCCGCGGUAAUACGUAGGGUGCGAGCGUUAAUCGGAAUUACUGGGUGUAAAGGGUGCGCAGGCGGUUGAGUAAGACAG
rnacentral:rRNA from 1 species